rnacentral:rRNA from 1 species
AAUAGAUACCCCGGUAGUCCACGCCGUAAACGAUGAGUGCUAAGUGUUAGGGGGUUUCCGCCCCUUAGUGCUGCAGCUAACGCAUUAAGCACUCCGCCUGGGGAGUACGGUCGCAAGACUGAAACUCAAAGGAAUUGACGGGGGCCCGCACAAGCGGUGGAGCAUGUGGUUUAAUUCGAAGCAACGCGAAGAACCUUACCAGGUCUUGACAUCCCGCUGACCGGUCUAGAGAUAGAUCUUUCCCUUCGGGGACAGCGGUGACAGGUGGUGCAUGGUUGUCGUCAGCUCGUGUCGUGAGAUGUUGGGUUAAGUCCCGCAACGAGCGCAACCCUUGAUCUUAGUUGCCAGCAUUCAGUUGGGCACUCUAAGGUGACUGCCGGUGAUAAACCGGAGGAAGGUGGGGAUGACGUCAAAUCAUCAUGCCCCUUAUGACCUGGGCUACACACGUGCUACAAUGGACGGUACAGAGGGUCGCAACCCCGCGAGGGUGAGCUAAUCCCAUAAAACCGUUCUCAGUUCGGAUUGUAGGCUGC